rnacentral:rRNA from 1 species
AUGUUCCGGUGGGGCAAGAGCACCAAGAACCCAGCUCCGGCCGCCGGGGAGGAGGUGGCGGUGCAGAAGGUGGAGAAGAUCGAGUUCCACAACCUCGUCCACAUCAAGCCUCCCGUCCGCGCCGGCGGCGGGGCCAUCGGCAACGCGUGGAAGCCACAGCCACGGACGGCGAGUGCCGACAGCUCCGGCGCGGCGAGGAAGCCCGACAGCCCCGGAGACGACAUCAACUCGAGGGCGGGCAGGUUCAUCGAGGACACUAAGAAGCGGUGGCGCCUCGGCGUCAAGUCAUUCGGCGGCCGUUAG